GAUGAACGCUGGCGGCGUGCCUAAUACAUGCAAGUCGAGCGAAUGGAUUAAGAGCUUGCUCUUAUGAAGUUAGCGGCGGACGGGUGAGUAACACCUGGGUAACCUGCCCAUAAGACUGGGAUAACUCCGGGAAACCGGGGCUAAUACCGGAUAACAUUUUGAACCGCAUGGUUCGAAAUUGAAAGGCGGCUUCGGCUGCCACUUAUGGAUGGACCCGCGUCGCAGUUAGGUAGUUGGUGAGGUAACGGCUCACCAAGGCAACGAUGCUUAGCCGACCUAGGAGGGUCAUCGGCCACCCUGGGACUGAGACACGGCCCAGACUCCUACGGGAGGCAGCAGUAGGGAAUCUUCCGCAAUGGACGAAAGUCUGACGGAGCAACGCCGCGUGAGUGAUGAAGGCUUUCGGGUCGUAAAACUCUGUUGUUAGGGAAGAACAAGUGCUAGUUGAAUAAGCUGGCACCUUGACGGUACCUAACCAGAAAGCCACGGCUAACUACGUGCCAGCCGCCGCGGUAA
rnacentral:rRNA from 1 species